rnacentral:lncRNA from 1 species
AAUCAGAUAAGAAAACUUAAUGGAAAGCUAACUUACCUUAUAAUCCAAAUGAUCAAUAAAGUAGCAGAGAGAUCAUUAGUAGAUUAUUGUGAUAAUCCAAAAAUAUUAACUUACCUUAAUGAAACCAUUAUUACCAAUCUAGGUGACUUUGGCAAAGGAUCAUUGGUUUUGCUUUUAUGCUCAUCAAUUCAUGAAAGAAUGACACAUGAAAUAAACAAUAACAAGUGUAAGAAUAUGAAUUCAAACAUAAAAAAAUCAUACAAAAACUCAACUGUUUCAAUUCUAUACUUCAUUGACAAGAAUAAAUUCCACUACCAAAACAUCGAAACAGAACAAGUUAUAACAAAAAUAAGAUGAUAAAAUCCUGUUCAU